GAGCGAUGUUGAGCACUUUUCGUGUGUCUGUUGGCCAUUUGGAUGUCUUCUUUGGAAAAAUGUCUAUACAGGUCCUUUAGCCCAUUUUUUAGUCA